AACGAACGCUGGCGGCGUGCCUAACACAUGCAAGUCGAACGAGAAAGGGGCUUCGGCUCCGAGUAAAGUGGCGCACGGGUGAGUAACACGUGGGUAACCUGCCUCUAAGAUUGGGAUAACUCGUCGAAAGAUGAGCUAAUGCCGAAUAAGACCACAGUUCCUGCGGGAACAGGGGUCAAAGGGAGCCUCUGCUUGCAAGCUAUCACUUAGAGAUGGGCCUGCGCACCAUUAGCUAGUUGGUAGGGUAACGGCCUACCAAGGCAAAGAUGGUUAGCUGGUCUGAGAGGAUGAUCAGCCACACUGGAACUGAGACACGGUCCAGACUCCUACGGGAGGCAGCAGUGGGGAAUAUUGCGCAAUGGGCGAAAGCUUGACGCAGCAACGCCGCGUGAGUGAUGAAGGCCUUCGGGUCGUAAAGCUCUGUCGGGAGGAACGAAUGCUCCUGAGGUUAACAGCCUCGGGAGGUGACGGUACCUUCAAAGGAAGCACCGGCUAACUCUGUGCCAGCCGCCGCAGUAACAC
rnacentral:rRNA from 1 species